UAAAGUUAGGUCUGUGGAUGAAAGUCGAUGCCAGUCGCAGGCGAAGCGAUCCACGUAAGUUAGGCAAAAGUUCUAAUGAGCAUGGUGCGGUGUAGAAGUAAGUCCUACCAAGAAAUUGAGAGGGUUAGUAGUGAGGGGUUAAUUCCUAGUAGCAAAAGCUCCAGUAGGCGAGUGUGGGGUCAAAGUCCAGGUCAGAUAACUUUG
ncrna:unclassified sequences raiA RNA